UCAUUAAUUUCUGUGUGGUUAGUUCACAGAUGCAGGCAGAAGGAAUCUCCCUAAAACUUCAUCUGAAGGACUGCACCUGCCACAGUGUUGCAAAGUACUGCAGUGCAGUAUAAACGGUGUGUCUUCCUCAGAUGGAGAUAGCUUUGUGCUGCAUUGCAGUGGUUCACUGCAGAAGUGCCAGCAUGCACAGUGAUUACAUCACCUUGUGAUUCACUAGCUAAUUUGGCGUUCAUUAAGUGUACACCAGUGACUGAUGCUGACAAAACAAUGUCCUCCCAACUGCUUAAUUCUCAACAUGUGUGUGGCAAAGAAACUGUCAGAUCAGUGAG
rnacentral:lncRNA from 1 species